AACGAACGCUGGCGGCAGGCUUAACACAUGCAAGUCGAGCGCCCCGCAAGGGGAGCGGCAGACGGGUGAGUAACGCGUGGGAAUCUACCCUUUUCUACGGAAUAACGCAGGGAAACUUGUGCUAAUACCGUAUAAGCCCUUCGGGGGAAAGAUUUAUCGGGAAAGGAUGAGCCCGCGUUGGAUUAGCUAGUUGGUGGGGUAAAGGCCUACCAAGGCGACGAUCCAUAGCUGGUCUGAGAGGAUGAUCAGCCACAUUGGGACUGAGACACGGCCCAAACUCCUACGGGAGGCAGCAGUGGGGAAUAUUGGACAAUGGGCGCAAGCCUGAUCCAGCCAUGCCGCGUGAGUGAUGAAGGCCCUAGGGUUGUAAAGCUCUUUCACCGGUGAAGAUAAUGACGGUAACCGGAGAAGAAGCCCCGGCUAACUUCGUGCCAGCCGCCGCAGUAAGAC
rnacentral:rRNA from 1 species